rnacentral:rRNA from 1 species
GACGAACGCUGGCGGCGUGCUUAACACAUGCAAGUCGAACGGAAAGGCCCUGCUUUUGUGGGGUGCUCGAGUGGCGAACGGGUGAGUAACACGUGAGUAACCUGUCCCUGACUUUGGGAUAACUUCAGGAAACUGGGGCUAAUACCGGAUAGGAGCUCCUGCUGCAUGGUGGGGGUUGGAAAGUUUCGGCGGUUGGGGAUAGACUCGCGGGUUAUGAGCUUGUUGGUGGGGUAGUGGCUUACGAAGGCUUCGACGGGUAGCCCGCCUGAGAGGGUGGACGGCGACAUGGCGACUGAGAGACGGCGCAGAAUCGAACCGGAGGCAGCGGGGGGGAGUAUUGCGGAGUAGGCGGACGCGUGAUGCGACGGCGCCGGGUGCGGGAUGCCGGGCUACUGGUUGUGAACCGCUUUCGCCUGUGACGAGGCGUGAGUGACGGUAAUGGGUAAAAAAGCACCGGCUAACUACGUG